GGGCCUAUAGUUCAGUGGUAGAACACCUCAUUUGCAAUGAGGAAGCGCGAGUUCGAUUCUCGCUAGGUCCACAA
rnacentral:tRNA from 1 species